rnacentral:rRNA from 1 species
CCUACGGGAGGCAGCAGUGGGGAAUAUUGGGCAAUGGGCGCAAGCCUGACCCAGCAACGCCGCGUGAAGGAAGAAGGCUUUCGGGUUGUAAACUUCUUUUUGCAGGGAAGAAACACGUGACGGUAGCUCAGUAAUACGUCACGGCUAACUACGUGCCAGCAGCCGCGGUGAUACGGAGGGUGCGAGCGUUAAGCGGAUUCACUGGGUGUACAGCGAUCGUAGGCGGGAUGGCAAGUCAAGGGUGAAAUCCCCGCGCUCAACGUGGGAACUGCCUUUGACACUGGCAAACUGGAGUGUGUGAGAGGUGAGUGGAAUUCCAGGUGUAGCAGUGAAAUCCGUAGAUAUCUGGAGGAACACCAGUGGCGAAGGCGACUAACUGGAACGUAACUGACGUUGAGGAGCGAAAGCGUGGGUAGCAAACAGGAUUAGAUACCCUUGUAGUC